AGAAGUUAUCCAUGUAACUUAAUCAUUGUUUGAUUCGUUCAAAUGCAUUGUCACCCAUGGCAACGCGUCUGUCACAUCCUUUUGCAGAAAAGCCCCUGUGUUUCUUUAGUUUUCAACUCGUAGUCCUACUUUAAUAACUGACUAUAUGAGAAAAACGUUUCGUUUUUGCAGGAAACACCCUGCGGUUUGGUACAUUCACCGUGCAGUCCUUUUAUAAAGUGGAAUUGAGAACCGCUCCCCUCGAUCUGAACAGUAUGGCGUCGUCGCCGGCCGCCGGUCUUCUUCUCCGGCCAUCGAUCGCCCAGUUUUCCUUCCUCCCUUUCCACAUCCGCUCCUAAUUUUCUCCGCCGCCACCCGCAACCUCCUCAAUCUCCACCCUCUUGCUCCAGUGCCAUGCUGGCAUCGAUCCCGCCAAUCCAAAAUCCGUCGUCGUCGUGCCGAGGCAUGGUCGGGCGUCGACGUAGAGGAAGAGAAGAACCCAGCCGGGAUAUGGGUGGAGGACGUAGAUCCUCUCCCGCAAACGACGACCACACCACACGAGCCUGCCCCUGGAUCUCUCCGCGCCUCUUAGACCAUGAGCGCCUCAAUGGGGAGUUCUAGCUUGGCGGUGAAUUGGAGUCGGAGCCCCCGGAGCCAACCUCAUCUUCUCUAGACAAUAGGGACACAAGGAAGAGAUAAUCAGUUUUGAGUGCGCUAUUGCUGCUUAUGGAGAACAUAGAACAGAGACUUUUGGCCCAACCCCCGCUGCCUCGCUGAUUCCACCUUGCCUCGGGUCACUGGGCGUCCUUCGCCCAAUCGACGACUUCUGUGGCUAAAACACCCACGCGGCGUCUCCUGGUGCGGACCGGGUGGAGAUGUGAGGUCGCCAAGGAAAGAUCAGGGGAGGGAGGAGCUACCCGUGCAUCCAUACCAGAUCAGGCAGUCGACGCGCGCAUCUGUGCCCGAUCCGGGCGCCAAGGUCAAGGCUGGAUGGAGGAUAAUGCAGCGGUUGCUUGGCUGUGGCGGAGGGGAAGGGAGUACGGGCUGGUAUCGUUGUGGAGUAAUAGGAGGUCGAAUCACGAGCAGACGGAGGUAUACGGAGCACGGGGCGACAACUUCGUCGUCCCGUGUUGGUGCGGCUACGGGUGGCCAUCAUGGCUGGGAGUGGAGCACGACCGAGUGU
rnacentral:lncRNA from 1 species